GUCGAUACAAAAUACACUCUUCUAUAUCCCAUAUUCUUUCUAACAAGCUCAGUCUACUGAGAUGCAAAUGAUUAAGCCCAGAUUUUGGCCACUUCAAAAUUGCAAAUAGCUGUGAUGCACAUCAGAGCAAAAUCAUCAGAGCAAUGUCCUCAAGUACAUUUCUCCCAAAUGCCUUAGGUCUCCAUUGUGAGCUGCUUUUCCUGUCCUAAGCUCAAAGGUAUGUCUUUAAUCUAUUAUAUAGCUCAUUGCAUUUUUCUUCAGUCACCAGGAUCUUUAUCAAUAUAUUUGUCUGUCUCUGCUAUUUCAAAUCAAGAGGGAAAUAGAUGAGCCAAGUUUCAAAACCUGAAACGGAUUCUUAGCUCCUGGCCCUCUAUAGGGGUAGGAGGGGAUGGAGGUUCCAGAACAACAGCAGCAUUAGCAACUGGCCAGCAGCCAGCCUCACAUUAGGGGGUCUGCAGCAAGGCUCUAAUCCUGGAGCAAUUCACCAGUGAGACCUGCAAACUGGCAUCCCUUAGGUAAGGGAGCAGAUCAACAAGGUCAAGCACAAACCACCAGCCAGGCUUUGAUCCCAUUUCUGAUCUAUAAUGUAGCAUCACCCUGGGGCUGACCAUCAGUGAGACCCCACUGUGGGGCCUACUAGCAGAGUCCCUGUGUUCACAGCAACCCAGCAGCAGAGCCCUGCCCCUGGGGCUGAAGCAAAGAAAGCAGGCUAGCAAUCAUGAUGUCACAUUUUGCAAAAGCAAAAAUUUAACUAGUUAAAAGACAUAAAGAAAAAAGCUCUCUUCGUGAAAGGUACUAUAGGCAAUGAACUCAUAUUAAAACUAAACAUAUAUGUGCAAAUAUAGAAUCUAUAUAGAGAUAUAUAGAUAGAUUCUAUAUAUAAUCUAAAUUUUUGAAGUUGAAUGAGUUAGAGGGAAAUAGAUAAUAAAACUAUCCUAGGAGAGAGCUCAGUUUUUCCUUCUCAGAACUAGAUAAAUCUAACCAAAAAUAAAUGAAAAAGAAGUUAAUGAGAUAAAGUAAAAUUUUAGAACAAUUAGAUAUGGUAGAUCUCUGGAGAAAAUUGAAUAGGGACAGAAAUAUACCUUUUUCUCAGCAGUACAUGGCAUCUAUGUAAAAAAAUGAUCAUGUAUUAGGGCAUAAAAACCUCACAAUCAAAUGCAGAAAGGCAAAAAUAGUAAACGCUUUCUUUUUAGAUCAUGAUGCAAUAAAAAUUGUGUUCAAUAAAGGACCAUGGAAAGAUAGACUAAAAACCAAUUGGAAACUAAAUAAUCUAAUCCUAAAAAACAAAUUGGCCAAAAGAAUUCAUCAUAGAAACUAAUCCCCCUAGUUUGUUUAUUUUGUGGUUAGAUUUAUCUAAUUCUGAGAGGGGAAGACUUUUUUUUUUGGGGGGGGGGUCAUGGCCUUCAGGUAGGCCAAUAAUUUUUAAAUGGUUCUCUCCUGGAUAUAUUUUUCCAAUGAGGUAUUUUGCAUUUUCUUCCUUUUUUCAUUCAUUUUUGUUUAUUUGACCGAUUCUUGUUGUCUCAGUCGUUAGCUUCCAUUUGCCCAGUUCUAGUUUUUAUAUCUCUUUUUCCAUUUGAUUAAUCUUACCUUUCCAGAUGUUUUCUUUCGUGGAUUUUUUUUUUUUUUUGCAUUAUAUCAAUUGUAUUUUUUAAGGAAUUAUUUUACUUGUUUACUUUAAAUAAUAGCUUUUGAUUCUCAAAAUGCCUGCAGAGAUACAUGCAAAGCUGCUGGUGAGUCUGCUUAUCUCCAGUCUUUCUCUAUACCAGUCCACCCUCCGUUCAGCUGCCCAAGUGAACAAGUCUGACCAUCCCAUGCCCCACUCAAUAAACUCCAGUGGCUCCUAUCGCCUCCAGGAUCCAGCUAAGUCUUACUCUGGCACCCAAAGCCUUUCCAGCCUGGCCCCGUCCCUCCAUUUCAUUUCUCUUACACGAGUAGUCCAGUGAUACUGGUCCCUUGUCAAUCCCAGGGCAUGGCACCCCAUCUCUGAGCUUGGGCACGUCCCCCAUCCUGGACUCCUCUCCCUGCUCCUCUUCCCCUUCUGCUCGCCUGCCAUUCCCUCCAGCUGAUCCCGUGUAUGUUUGCCACCGCCUCCAUUAGACGGGGCAGAGCCGGGCUCUCCCUUUCUUUGUGUCCCAGCGCUCAGGGCAGCCUCGUAGGGUCGCCAGUCAGCACAUUUAGCAGCAGGUGAAGGAGUGACCGAGGGGUGGGUGGUGAGCCAAGGCUGAGGCUUGGCAGGCAGACUCCUGACGGGAUAAGGGGCCCAGGGACCGGAGGGAAGACAGCGCACAGAGUCUUCCAAGGGGUCAAGAUGGGGGAAGCCAGGAGCAGACACUGCAGAGGGAAGGCUGUGGGAAAGAACUGGGCCAGGAGGCACAUGGUGAGAAUAAUAAACAAGGGAGUGGGGGUAAAAUGACUCGGGGAAGGGGAUUCCAGAGUUCAGAGGGGAACCCUUGUGGGUGAAGGCGAGAGCCAGGAUCUGACCCUCUCUGUGGGGGGCUGAGGUGGAGAUCCUGAGAAAGGGGGGCUGAGGAGGAGAAGGGACCAUCACUGAAUGUUUUAGAAAGGCAGACCUCUGGGGUCCCGGAGGCUGGCUGACAGUAGCCCUAGAAUUGUGACUACAGGGUAGAUCCGGGCUGAGUGAGUCCAUAGGAAGUGAUGGUGGCUGAAGGGAGCCAGGAGGACUCCAGCUCCCCGUCAGUAACCGGGGAGCGAGAGAACAGGCAGUUCUAGAAGGGUGCCCUGGAGGCUGCAUCAUCCAGUCCAGUCUCAAUGAGUCAGAAGGAGGGAAGCAAGGCCAGCUUGUCACCGGGAGCACAGGGGAGCUUUAGAAUGGGUCCCUGGGAGGGAGGAGAUAAGGGGCUUUGAACAAUGGCAGCCAAUUCAGAUUCACCAGAUGGGGCCAGUUAAUCAUUGAGGAAAAAAGGGAGGUUCCCCCUUAUCCCAGGGGAUCAGUCUCAGGGUGCUCGGCAGCGGCAUAUCAUAUGCAGCGGCAUAUCGGGCACAGCUGGCAACCGGGCACAGCUGGCAGCCGGUCUCUGCCCUCAGGGAGCCAGCCCACAGCCUGGCACAAACGUCUCCAAGCAAACCCGUGGUGCCCGGGAUAAGCACCGGCAAAGCCCAUCUGGGAAGCUGAGGACACGGGGCUUGUGGGACAGCCCAGGAAUGGGCUCGGGCAGAAUGGCCACAGUCAUGUCCUUUUCGGUGCCGAUCACCCAGAUGGUGUCCAGAUGGUGAGACUUUGGAGGGGCUUCAGGGCACAGUGUGGGCCUGGCGGGGAGCACAGGGCAGGGAGCUGAGCCAGCAGGGAGGACCAUCUGCUACGCUGCCAG
rnacentral:lncRNA from 1 species